rnacentral:lncRNA from 1 species
GUCGUUUAGUUAGGUGAAGGCAAAUAUGGCCAGAAGAGACGAAUGUAGGAAACCGGGUACAACAAUGCACUCGGUGUAUGACUGAGCCUUUGUUCGAUUCAUGGCAAAUUCACCGCUUACUGCUGCCUGCCUUGACCCGAGUCACACACUGUUUUUCAACAAAGCGUCUGUUGCCUCGGCAAGGUGGGACGGAAAAGCGAGAUGGCGCACCUUGUGAGGACGGUUUUAUUGUUCGCGCUUCCAAACGAAGUGCAGCGCAGAUAGCUUAAUGUAAAACUGUAUAAGCUCGAACUUCUGUUCCGCCACUCCUUUUUUUGACCACAUAUAGCAGGUGUUUAUGACGAGGAAUCAUUAACAAAUUUCGUUCACCUCUGCAAAAUCCCAUCUCUAUAAGGGGACCCUGCAGUGCUGGAUAUAUCAGGGGAAAUGAACCUGGGCUUCUUACGCCAGCAACAAAACAUCUUUGUAGUGCUCGCUAACUGAUGUCGAACUCAUAUGCGCAGCCCCCCGCAUGAGCGCUGUCCUUGCUCCCCAGACUGUUGCAUAAUUCUUCUCCAACAGUGUUCACGCCCCAUCGACUGCGAGUCCCAAUGCGGAAAGCCAUACAUUUAACUCAAUUAUGAAUUCAUACUGAAUGGAAUGCCAUCUCAGUUGUCCGGUUAAAAGCGGAACAGUGCAAAAACUAGCUUGAGGCUUAGACCGAAAACUUCUAGUGGUGGUCCUGGAACCAGUUCUUGAAAAUGCUACUCUACGGCUGUUGAUUAAACCUGUCUCGUCAUGGAGUCACCUCGAAAUGAACAGGCAACCUUUUGCUGCCAGCUUCGUCAGGUGGGCGACAGAGAAGGCGUCUUCAACUGGUUCAUUGAUAGCUGCUGUCCGGCGGGGUCAACCAUGCUCGCUAGCCGGCUUUGAUCAGCAAGGCAGCCGUCGACGCUCGGUGGCUGGUGCUUUCUAAGCGCCGGUCCAGCUGAAGAGAGGACCAAACUCUUGAAAUACAGAGUCCCAGCUGAUACGCCUUGCCACUUCUCGUAUUCCUCUAGUGCAGGUGAAAAACACUAUCGUGCUGGUGGGGCUUUGUAGACGGCUUCACUUACCUCCAGCAUGGUGUAGAUUUCUUGCUGUCCGAACAUGCAGUGGGGCAGCGGCCGAGGAAGAGCACAAUCGAAAUCUUUUUGCGAGAAGGCCAAACAUUUUUUCCCCAACAACAGGCAUAGCGGCCUCCAGUUUCCUUGAGGUGUCCUGCGGCAGACAUCAUAGGAUAUGGCGUACGUGGAAGAGCCUUAUCUAUUUCUGCCGCUGCUGUCGCUCUUCGGCAUUGUGGUUCGUUCCUGGGUCGCUGUUCUCAGUGUCAGCAGAAUGUCUGACUUCUAACCAGACUCAUGUUUUGGGAGAGUUUGGCUUCAUCAAGAAUCUUGUGGACCCGCCCGUCGUAGGAUGAUCGACAUCGACUUCGGCCUAAAUCAGGGGGACGGCGGCGCUUGGUGCUGGAGGCGGAGAACCUUCCAGGAGGCUGGAGAUGUCUCAUAGUUGAUGGACCGACGAGCCCCCAUAUCUGUUCGUCAGCCCUAUAGUCCACGAGCCGAGCGUCGCGUUUCCGAUAGCGGCGGAAAUGGGCCGUUUUGGGCAAAAGAGAUGAUUGAAGCGGAAAACGAGGGUUUACCUGCAGGAUGACUAGACAAUCGGAUGAUGUCGUCACCGAGAUAAGACGCCGAAUGGCAACCAUCUGCAGACGAAGAGCUCGAAGAAGACAGAUUCGAUCCAUAUCUCUCGUUACUGUUUAACAUGGUGGAGGAGAGGAGUCACAGUCCUUGUGUGGUCAACAGCUUCACUAUGCAAGCUACUUUUCCGGCACCUGCGACAAAUCAGCCCCUCGUCGAGGUUUGGCACCCUGUUCAAUACUGGAAAUCUUCAAGUAUCCAAAAAGGUGCCCGUUCCAAUAGGAAAAAUCGGACAUCACAACGACACCCUAUCUCACGCGUACGGCGAGCCGUAGGAGUUAUGGUGGGGGGGGAUCAGGUGAAGUUCUCUCUGUGGGCAUAUUAUAUCAUGGCGUUUUUUACGUUUCCACAUCUGUUUUUUCCUCAUCAUCUCCCGCAUAUCUCACGAUACACACUGGCCUGUGGUCCUGAACACGCGGCGUGGGCGCCUUAAGACCGCUUCCGCGCCUUUCCCGGAUUGUUGAGUUACGAGUUAGUUCAGCAUCCUUUUUUUUCAGUCUACAACUGUUAGCCUGUGUCAACGCGUGCCAAUCCUGCUCACCAAUUCACCGUUUUUAGAAUCGCCACAGCUUGCCGCCGUCCCAUUUGUUUUCUGGACGUGAUGGUCUUCCAUGUGCCCGGAACCAGCCUGGUCGCGAAACACAGGAGAUCGUCGGUAACUUCUUACUCCCGACUACGAUGGUUUUUGGGAUACUUAGUACACAGCGGUUGGGGGUGCAACCAACGCGAUGGAGCCCCUGCAGGCCAUCAGGAUUACUCGACGGCACUGAUCCUUCACAAAGAAAAAACACUCAAGGAGCAGCCUUCCGCAGUCCAGCUCGUCGAACCAUCAUAUUGAGGUGAAUGUUGCUAGUUUCACUACGUACGGAGCAGAUUCAAGGUGACGUCUUCCUCAAUUGCGUUUCAACGGACAAAUAUUCGAUUGUCCGUCAAUUCACAAAGGCUGAAUGGAGGCAAUUGUUCAAUUUCGAUCAAUCAUCGACAUUUUAUAUCCUUGUGUUCGCUGCCAGCUCUUGCCCUUUAUAACCGUUCUCCCACUGUGCCAAACGGGUUCUCCGGUGUCUAGGCAACCGUUAUUAUAUACGGGAGGGAUAUAAAAAGACGGGAGGGUUGUAUGCUGGUGGCCUUCACCCAGGACAUCGAAUACUUCCGCUCGUAGCUUAAAAACCUGCUGCGGACCAUUUUUUUGCCAUAUUACGCUAUCGGCUAUGUUCUCGUCUUUCAUUGUCGCGGCCAUCUAAUCAGCUAAACGGUGGAGUCCCUCAUUGUACAGCAGCAAUUGCGUGGUACAAUUCUCAUUCGCCUAUCCUGUUGGCCAUCAGUCGAACAGCCAUCCCUUGUUUGUCGUCACCGUUUGCCAGGAGUUCUCCGUUGUAUCAGAAAUUAGUCGGGCAUGUGGGAGACUCUCAUCCAAAGCUGCCACUGAAUUCGGGGUGAAAUUCGUUCGGGGGGACAGUCGGCGAUUUACCAUUUCUUCUCUGCGCGAAACGGACGAGUGAUUCUCCAGUUGCGGCGGGCAUUGCUCCGGAUGCACGACUGCUGGCGCUGCGAAGUCUGCUUCUUUGGUUAAGAUCAACGGAUGAACUAACUAUGCAACAAAUGGACUAUUUGCCCGCUACGAAAGCUUGUCAGAUUGCACGAGUGUUGUUCAUUGCCGUGUAUUCCUUUUGGACGGCUUCGGUUGCUAAAUAAAACGACUGGAAGACUGGAACGUAACGUCUGAGCCGAG